UACGGAGGGUGCAAGCGUUGUCCGGAAUCACUGGGCGUAAAGGGCGCGUAGGCGGCUCAUGAAGGCUGUGGUGAAAGUCCGGGGCUCAACCUCGGAUCGGCCGUGGCGACUCGUGGGCUGGAGCACUGUAGAGGCGGGUGGAAUUCCGGGUGUAGCGGUGGAAUGCGUAGAGAUCCGGAAGAACACCAGUGGCGAAGGCGAAUCCCUGGAAAAUACCUGACACUGAGGCACGAAAGCUAGGGGAGCAAACAGG
rnacentral:rRNA from 1 species